rnacentral:rRNA from 1 species
UACGUAGGGGGCUAGCGUUGUCCGGAAUCAUUGGGCGUAAAGCGCGCGUAGGCGGCCAGAUAAGUCCGGUGUGAAAGUCAAAGGCUCAACCUUUGAAUGCCGCUGGAAACUGUCUGGCUUGAGUCCGGGAGGGGCGAGUGGAAUUCCUGGUGUAGCGGUGAAAUGCGCAGAUAUCAGGAGGAACACCUAUAGCGAAGGCAGCUUGCUGGGACGUUACUGACGCUAAGGCGCGAAAGCGUGGGGAGCGAACAGG